rnacentral:rRNA from 1 species
AUUGAACGCUGGCGGCAGGCCUAACACAUGCAAGUCGAGCGGAUGAGAGGAGCUUGCUCCUCGAUUCAGCGGCGGACGGGUGAGUAAUGCCUAGGAAUCUGCCUAGUAGUGGGGGACAACGUUUCGAAAGGAACGCUAAUACCGCAUACGUCCUACGGGAGAAAGUGGGGGAUCUUCGGACCUCACGCUAUUAGAUGAGCCUAGGUCGGAUUAGCUAGUUGGUAGGGUAAAGGCCUACCAAGGCGACGAUCCGUAACUGGUCUGAGAGGAUGAUCAGUCACACUGGAACUGAGACACGGUCCAGACUCCUACGGGAGGCAGCAGUGGGGAAUAUUGGACAAUGGGUGAAAGCCUGAUCCAGCCAUGCCGCGUGUGUGAAGAAGGCCUUCGGGUCGUAAAGCACUUUAAGUUGGGAGGAAGGGCUCAUAGCGAAUACCUGUGAGUUUUGACGUUACCAACAGAAUAAGCACCGGCUAACUUCGUGCCAGCAGCCGCUGUAAAAC